CGUCGGCGUCACACGGAACCCGGCCCAGACACACCUGCCUCACUACACCUUUCCUUUCGUAACACCUGAGAACCCUUUACCUUUACCCCCUUUCCGAGCCUUUUCCCGUCGCGUUCCUGAGGUGAAAAGACUCAAAAACGCGCAUUCGACUCCGAAGAAAGAAGAAAGUUUUAAGUAAGCGUUUUGAGUUCGUGUGUAUAUAAAACCACAACAAACCUUAAGUUCCCCCGUAAAGUGAGCGCUGCCGGACUCUUAUGCGUGUCACCAUGGCGUUAGCGAGUGCGUAGCGUGCGUGGCGGGAGAGGAACAGUUGCGUGAGUCCCGUGUGCUUGAGCCAGGCGAGGGACGCAGCCAUGGGUGUGGGGGGCGUGCUGACCCUCACACUGGCGCUCCUUGCUGCCACACUCGUCGCUUCUAACGAAGAAGGCGCCGGCGGUGUCGUAGCAGGGAUUGCGGACGCCCAGGAGACACAAU